rnacentral:rRNA from 1 species
CACAUCGGGACUGAGACACUGCCCGGACCUCACGGAGGGCUGCAGUAACGAAUAUUGCGCAAUGGACGAAAGUCUGACGCAGCAACGCCGCGUGUAGGAUGAAGCCCCUCGGGGUGUAAACUACUGUCAGGGGUCAGAAAGUGCGCUUCGGCGCAUUGAUCAGCCCCAGAGGAAGUCACGGCUAACUUCGUGCCAGCAGCCGCGGUAAUACGAAGGUGGCGAGCGUUGUUCGGAAUCACUGGGCUUAAAGCGCGCGUAGGCGGAAUGGCAUGUGCUUUGUGAAAUCCCACGGCUUAACCGUGGAAUUGCUUGGCAAACUGCUAUUCUUGAGGCAAGCAGGGGUGUAUGGAACUCUUGGUGGAGCGGUGGAAUGCGUAGAUAUCAAGAGGAACGCCAAUGGCGAAGGCAGUACACUGGGCUUGUCCUGACGCUGAGGUGCGAAAGCGUGGGGAGCGAACGGGAUUAGAUACCCCGGUAGUCCACGCUGUAAACGAUGUCUACUAGGUUGUGGAAGUUCUGACGCUUUCACGGCCGAAGCAAAAGUGUUAAGUAGACCGCCUGGGGAGUACGGUCGCAAGGCUAAAACUCAAAGGAAUUGACGGGGGCUCACACAAGCGGUGGAGCAUGUGGAUUAAUUCGAAGCAACACGCAGAACCUUACCUGGGUUUGACAUGCUUGGAUGCCUGCCUGGAAACAGGUUAGGUUGCCCUUCGGGGUGAAACUUGCACAGGUGCUGCAUGGCUGUCGUCAGCUCGUGUCGUGAGAUGUCGGGUUAAGUCCUUUAACGAGCGAAACCCUUGCCGUUAGUUGCCAGCGAGUAAUGUCGGGGACUCUAACGGGACUGCCGGUGUUAAACCGGAGGAAGGUGGGGAUGACGUCAAGUCCUCAUGGCCUUUAUGCCCAGGGCUUCACACGUGCUACAAUGGCGUAUACAAAGCGAUGCGAUACCGCGAGGUGGAGCAAAUCGCACAAAAGACGCCUCAGUUCGGAUUGCAGGCUGACAACUCGCCUGCAUGAAGUUGGAAUCGCUAGUAAUCGCGUAUCAGCUAUGACGCGGUGAAUGUGUUCCUGAGCCUUGUACACACCGCCCGUCAAGUGAUGGGAAUCGGGAGUACCCGAAGUCGGGUUGCUAACCUUAGGGAGGCGCCUGCCGACGGUAAGCUCGAUGAC